AUUGAACGCUGGCGGCAUGCCUAACACAUGCAAGUCGAACGGCAGCACAGCAGUAGCAAUACUGUGGGUGGCGAGUGGCGGACGGGUGAGGAAUACGUCGGAAUCUGCCCAGUCGUGGGGGAUAACUAGCCGAAAGGUUAGCUAAUACCGCAUACGACCGAGAGGUGAAAGCGGGGGACCGCAAGGCCUCGCGCGAUUGGAUGAGCCGACGUCGGAUUAGCUAGUUGGCGGGUAAAGGCCCACCAAGGCGACGAUCCGUAGCUGGUCUGAGAGGAUGAUCAGCCACACUGGAACUGAGACACGGUCCAGACUCCUACGGGAGGCAGCAGUGGGAAUAUUGGACAAUGGGCGCAAGCCUGAUCCAGCAAUGCCGCGUGUGUGAAGAAGGCCU
rnacentral:rRNA from 1 species